CUAUGCUUUGAUGCCAAAAUUAAUUAAAAUUUUUAUGGCAUAUAGAGAAGGAAGAGUUCUUCUACUACAAGUAUCUAAAAUAUCAAAAUUUUACUCAGUAAAUUUAUUUGGCACGUGGGAAGUUGGAGCACCAAAGACUGGCACCCCUUCAUCUCAUGUGACGUCCCUUGGUCCCCUAUUUAUAGGGGACACCCCACAUAGUUUCCUAUUGAGAUUUUUUGCUAAAAUCAG
rnacentral:lncRNA from 1 species